AUUGGUUGAAAAUUACCUGUGACUUUGGUCACAGGUGAGAUUCCUUGCCCAGAACCACCAGGGCCUCAGCUCACUGUUCGCUCCUCCUUGUUGGGGGGUAAAACCCAGGCUCUGACACGU
ensembl:snoRNA